UACGGAGGGGGCUAGCGUUGUUCGGAAUUACUGGGCGUAAAGCGCACGUAGGUGGCUUUGUAAGUUAGAGGUGAAAGCCCGGGGCUCAACCCCGGAAUUGCCUUUAAGACUGCAUCGCUAGAACGUCGGAGAGGUGAGUGGAAUUCCGAGUGUAGAGGUGAAAUUCGUAGAUAUUCGGAAGAACACCAGUGGCGAAGGCGACUCACUGGACGACUGUUGACACUGAGGUGCGAAAGCGUGGGGAGCAAACAGG
rnacentral:rRNA from 1 species